CAUGCAGUCGAUGGGGCAGCAGGGGUAGCAAUACCCGCUGGCGACCGGCAAACGCGUGCGGAACACGUACGCAACCUUCCUUUAACUGGAGAAUAGCCCCUCGAAAGAGGGAUUAAUACUCCGUAACAUAUACAUGUGGCAUCACAAGUAUAUUAUAGCUCCGGCGGUUAAAGAUGGGCGUGCGCCUGAUUAGAUAGUUGGCGGGGUAACGGCCCACCAAGUCUGCGAUCAGUAACUGGUGUGAGAGCACGACCAGUCACACGGGCACUGAGACACGGGCCCGACUCCUACGGGAGGCAGCAGUAAGGAAUAUUGGUCAAUGGACGCAAGUCUGAACCAGCCAUGCCGCGUGGAGGAUUAAGGCCCUCUGGGUUGUAAACUCCUUUUAUCUGGGAAGAAAUGCAUUUUUUCUAAAGUGCUUGACGGUACCAGAGGAAUAAGCACCGGCUAACUCCGUGCCAGCAGCCGCGGUAAUACGGAGGGUGCAAGCGUUAUCCGGAUUCACUGGGUUUAAAGGGUGCGUAGGCGGGCAGGUAAGUCCGUGGUGAAAUCUCUGAGCUUAACUCAGAAACUGCCAUGGAUACUAUUUGUCUUGAAUAUUGUGGAGGUAAGCGGAAUAUGUCAUGUAGCGGUGAAAUGCUUAGAUAUGACAUAGAACACCCAAUUGCGAANGCAGCUUACUACACAGUUAUUGACGCUGAGGCACGAAAGCGUGGGGAUCAAACAGGAUUAGAUACCCUGGUAGUCCACGCCNUAANCGAUGAUUACUCGACAUCAGCGAUACACUGUUGGUGUCUGANCGAAAGCAUUUAANUAAUCCACCUGGGGAAGUACGAUCGCAAGAUUGAAACUCAAAGGAAUUUGA
rnacentral:rRNA from 1 species